rnacentral:sRNA from 1 species
GCCCCGGUGGCCGAAUGGGUAAUGCGGCCACCUGGUAGCGCCUUGGCGUGGGGACCCAAGGCGCGUGGGUUCGAAACCCGCAGGGGACAACAUUACAUCCGGAGCUAACUUCUCAGCUCCUAAAAUAAAGGGAUGUGAACUUGCCAAGUAGGUACCUUCGGGCGGACCUACUACCUGAUUUAGCUUAUUGUUUCUGGGCUGGAAAUCUGUAUCGCAUGUACCAAAUCCUGUCUCUCAUUAUGUUCCUGUUAUGUCUUGGCGUCGUUCAACACUAAGCAUUCCUCCUGUAUAACCAACUCUUGCCUGUAUUUAACAUCACACAAGGACUCAUCAUAAGCACUGCUUGCAUAUGAGUAUAAGGA